rnacentral:rRNA from 1 species
AACGUAGGUGGCAAGCGUUAUCCGGAUUUACUGGGCGUAAAGCGUGUGCAGGCGGGGGAACAAGUGGUGUAUGAAAUGGCUCGGCUCAACCGGGCGAGGUUAUGCCAGACUGUUCUUCUAGAGUGCGAGAGAGGGGCAUGGAAUUCCGGGUGUAGUGGUGAAGUGCGUAGAGAUCCGGAGGAACCCCAGAGGCGAAGGCGGUGCCCUGGCUCGCAACUGACGCUCAGACACGACAGCAUGGGGAGCGAACGGG